UGGCGAACGGGUGAGUAAUGCGUGACCAACCUGCCCCAUGCUCCAGAAUAGCUCUUGGAAACGGGUGGUAAUGCUGGAUGCUCCAACUUGACGCAUGUCUUGUUGGGAAAGUGUUUAGUGGCAUGGGAUGGGGUCGCGUCCUAUCAGCUUGUAGGCGGGGUAAUGGCCCACCUAGGCUUCGACGGGUAACCGGCCUGAGAGGGCGGACGGCCACAUUGGGACUGAGAUACGGCCCAGACUCCUACGGGAGGCAGCAGGC
rnacentral:rRNA from 1 species